GCCAGCUGAGGCUUGCUCCGAAACUUCUUCCCAGAUGGACUGGCAGGGGGAGGCAAGAAGAGACAGGAGACAAUCACCAGAUUAAUAUCACUUAAACGUCAGGCCAGACAGAGAAAGACGAGAUCGCUCCGCCGCGGACCGCGGCCACAUCACUACCUGCCUGUCUCGCCGGGGCACGAGGGCUGCAUCCGCAUGGAUAACAUAGGACACCGCGAGGCAAGCCAGGACGAGACAGGAAGUUGGAAGCUGCUGGAGGAGUGUGUGGAGCGGGCGAGACCACCAGGGAGACCUAGAGACAGAUGCAUUGAUGUGAGGAUUAUGUUCCAAAGCACUGAAACCUCUACGAGGGGCACAUGAUACAAGUUAUAAAUACUUACUGGUAAAGCCUUCUGGUUGGCCAACUGACGGUGUGGGCCCGGAUGCGUGAUGACCGUGCAGAAGAGUGCUGCUGGGAGGAAGGCCUGUGGGCUCCUCGUGUUUCCCUCCCUGCUAGUAAAGGUAGAGGACCAUGAC